CCUACGGGAGGCAGUAGUGAGGAAUAUUGGUCAAUGGGCGUAAGCCUGAACCAGCCAAGUCGCGUGAGGGAUGAAGGUUCUAUGGUUCGUAAACCUCUUUUAUAAGGGCAUAAAGUGCGGGACUUGUCCCGUUUUGUAUGUACCUUAUGAAUAAGGCUCGGCUAACUCCGUGCCAGCCGCCGCGGUAAGACGGAGGAUCCGAUCGUUAUCCGGAUUUAUUGGGUUUAAAGGGUGCGUAGGCGGCCUUUUAAGUCAGCGGGGAAAGUCUGUGGCUCAACCAUAGAAUUGCCGUUGAUACUGGGAGGCUUGAGUAUGUUUGAGGCAGGCGGAA
rnacentral:rRNA from 1 species